GUGGAUGUAGCUCAGUGGUGAAGUGCUUGUCCAACAUGUAAAAAGCUCUGGGUUCAACCCCCAGUACCACA
rnacentral:tRNA from 1 species